CUCUUUUUGAAUUUAAUUUAAAGUUGGGCCUGCCCACUGAUUUUUGAAGGGCCGCAGUAUUUUGACUGUGCAAAGGUAGCAUAAUCAAUAGUUUUUUAAUUGAAAGCUUGUAUGAAUGGUUUGAUGAAAAAAUUACUGUUUCAGUUUAAAUAAUAGAAUUUUAUAUUUAAGUGAAAAAGCUUAAAUUUAAUUUAAAGACGAGAAGACCCUAUAGAGUUUAACUAAGUUUAAAUUUUAAAAUUGAGGGAUUUUUUUGUUUGAAAUUUAAUUAAGUUUUGUUGGGGUGACAAAAAAAUUUAAUAAACUUUUUUUUUAUUUUUACAAUAGUUUUUGAUUUUUUGAUCCAUAAAAAUGAUUAGAAGAAUAAAUUACCUUAGGGAUAACAGCGUAAUAUUUUUUGAGAGUUCUUAUUGAAAAAAGAGAUUGCGACCUCGAUGUUGGAUUAAAAUUAAUUUUUGGCGCAGAAGCUAAAAAAUUGGGUCUGUUCGACCUUUAAAAUUUUACAUGAUCUGAGUUU
rnacentral:rRNA from 1 species